CAACAUUUUCUUAUGACUAAAAUAAAAUUUGCUUUUUAAUAGUAUUUACCCCAUUUCUAAAUUAAUUUUUAGACAUUUUGUUACAAUUUCCCAAUGUCAUUACCGAAAAUAAGAUUCAGGGGUGGGAUUCUGUGUACCGACCGCUUUCUAUCAAUGUCAAUAUAUUUGAAUUUUUAGUUUUAAUUCAAAUAUUUUCUUGUUUUACAAGUGUCACUUCAGCAUCAACUAGCAAAACUAGAAAAUAAUUCAAUAAAAGCUAAAAAUUCAAAUAUUUUCACGACAAUUGACAUCGAUAGAAAGCGAAGUGUAGAUAUCUACAGUGCACGGAAUCUAGCCCCAGGACGUAGAUGAUGAAUAUUAAACAGAAAUGAAACUGGAUUCUGGUGUAACAAACUUGCAGAUUUCAAGUAGCAGUGCAAUCAGUACCUAUUUCAGGUAUUAUUGAAGAGUUCUGGGCUUGGAUUCUGUGCACUGUAGAUAUCUACAUGUCGCUUUCAAUCGAUAUUUGAACAUCAAAAUAUUUGAAUUUUUAGCUUUAAUUGAAUUAUUUUCUAGUGUUGCUAGGUUAUACUCUAAUUGAUGCUGAAGUUCCACUUAGUAAAACAAGAAAAUAUUUGAAUUAAAACUAAAAAAUUCAAAUAUAUUGACAUUGAUAGAAAGCGAUAGGCGUUAGCGAUACGUACACAGAAUCCCACCCCUGGUAUUCGGUGGUCGGUGAGCCUGUUAGAAGCUAACGAUGGAAAACUAAAAUAUCUAAGGCCCGGGCUUUUCACCUCCGAAUAAAAGUUAUUCGGAGGUUUAUUUGACAGAUUUACAUGUAAUCUGCCGGAUAAACUUCCUAAUAAAUAUUUAUUCGGAGGUGAAAAGACCGGGCCUAAUUAUAAUAUAUGUAACUUUGCAAAACAACAAAUGUUGUGUUUGCGUGUUUCUAAUGUAAAAUGCGAAAUAAUUGUUUGAAGAAUGUGAUCCAGAUAUGCAGAUGUUAAAAUCAGUGGAUGACAAAAUAUUAUAUACAAAUAUUAAAUAUGAAACUGAUAAAAAUUAAUUAUAGUUGGUCAUUUUGUUCCCCAGUUAAAAUAUAAAAAAGUUUGGUUUUUGUUUACAAACAGUCAUAUUAAUUUCUAGUUAAACUCCCUCUGUGGCUCAGUGGUAAGAGCGCCUACCUUUGGAUCGAAAGGUCCGAAUGGUCGUGAGUUUGAAUCUCACCAGGGUAGAGAAUUUUUCGUUUAUUAUAAAUUAAUAAAUGAAAAUAGUUUCUAUCCUUGUGGGAUCGGUACCCACCGGAGGGACCGCAGACGUUCGGAUACAAUUAGCGUCUCUGCAAAGACAAUGACAUCGACUUUGCAAAGUAACAAGACACUUACUCAACACACACACUACACAUAAAGUCGACUUUACACUACAUGAUUUAUCACGUGAUUUAUCAUAUGAUUUUGCCCAUGACGAGCCGCAUGACAAUGCUUAUGAUAAAACACAUGCAAUGCUUAUGGCAAAAUCAUAUGACAAAUCACACAGUGUAAACAUGUAAAUUUUACUCCAUGACCAAAUCAUAUGACAAAUCACAUGAUAAAUCAUGUAAUGUAAAGUCGACUUAACACUAGCUACCUAAUUGGUAAAAUCCACUGUACCAUCAUGGUACCAUGCCAAUGCCCAUUAGUUGUCGAGGCAUUAGCUAAAUAAAAAAAAUUUCUAGUUAGUCAGCUGUUAUUUUUAUUAUAAAAAGUCAUAAAUUAUAUACAAAUAUAUUAAUAAAGUUUUAUAGUAUAUUUUAGUUUUUGAUAAGUAGAUUUUAGUAAGCUAAACUUAACAGUAGAUUUUCUAAAUAAAAUGUGGCAACGCUGUGUUAGUGGCAGUUGGCAGUUUUGUUUUGUGCAUUUGAUAAACUUCACAAACUGAAAUGGCGGGUAAUAUGGAUUUUUCAAAAAAGAAAACAAGAUAUUGCAGCUGUUGUAUUGAUUCAUGUAAAAAUAUUGAAUAUAACAGUACUGGAUGCAGUUAUUAUAUUCGGAAACAUUGCGUACAUGUCCUGUAUCAACUAAAUCCUUUCCUUUUUUGGUGUUGCUGAUUGAAAUUGGAUAUCAUGGGAAAUAAGACUGAAUCCAGUAUAAUGUUUAAUAUUUAUUUUGAUAGAAUUCAAACAAAUUACAAUUGAUACAAAUUACAAAUUUUAAUAAGCAAAGCAGUAAGCACACAAAAAUAAACAGAGGUAACCUUUAAAAUGUUAAAUAAUUCAUAUAUAAACUUAUUCUUUUUCUCAAUGGUCUCUUGCGUAAGCAGUCAUCCAGUCUCACGAACUUAUAUAUUAAAUAUUAAAAUUAUAAUGAAUAAAAUAAAAAAAUUCGUGUAUUCGUUUAGUAAUCAGGUUACAAUAAUAUUUCAGAUCAUAAUUUGUGUCUUUCUAGAUAAGUAUCUAUUUUUCUCGUUUUGUAUAUUUCACAUACAUAAAUUUUAUCAGAAAAUUAAAGUUUCAAACCGCGAGAUAGCGCUACCGUCGAAACUCACAGCCAAUAGACAUUUUGGCAGUAGUGGUGGUCAUAGAGUAGUUACUUUGCCAUAGGUUGCUAGUCACUCUACUUUAACUCCAACUAUACACUCUACCAGCUAUGUUACUGACAAGAAUCUACAGGUCGAGCAAGUCUCGUAAAUUUCACGAUUGCGAGCCACGCUUCACGCAACCGUGUUUGCAUACUUGUGUUUCGAGUUGCGUGGUCGUGCGGAGUUAUAUUUACCAAAUUUAAAUAUAAUCGUUUCUAUUACCAUGCUGUCAAAAUUAAAUCAAUAUGGCUACUAAUCUUAUUCUAUCUGUUCUUCAUGAGUUUUAGAUAAUUUUAGUUGUAUUUCUUUGUAAUUUUGUGUUGUACAAAGAUUAAUUUAACAUUUUCUCUGGAAGUAUUAAUUUAGAAAGAUAAUAUGCUUCAUUGGUGUUGUGUUUUGAAGUGUGAAAUGCAAAGUAAUUGUGAUAAAGUCAAGAUAUUCACUUUUAAACUGAACUAAUUUAGAUAAUUUUAGUUGUAUUUCUUUGUAAUUUUGUGUUGUACAAAGAUUAAUUUAACAUUUUCUCUGGAAGUAUUAAUUUAGAAAGAUAAUAUGCUUCAUUGGUGUUGUGUUUUGAAGUGUGAAAUGCAAAGUAAUUGUGAUAAAGUCAAGAUAUUCACUUUUAAACUGAACUAAAUAAGGUAUCAUCUGAGAGACAACAAUGGUUAAAUGCAAUACAAUGUACAGGUUUUACUAGCGAAAUGAAAAUUUUCCUGUCCUGUCUGCUGUAAUCAUUUUAUAUAUGGAAAACCAGCCGACUUAAUCGAUAAUAACAAUCUCCAGAUUGGGUUCCUUCAAUAAAUAUGGGCUAUAAACACAAUGGAAUAAGUUCCCCAAAAUCUAAAAUGGAGUGGUAUCAAAGGAGAAUUAAAGGAAAAAAUAUUCAUAUUGAAAUUAUUUAUAAGGCACUGGACUGUCUUAAAUUCUACAAUAAUACUAGAAUCAGCUGAGAGAAGUGGUCUACAAAAAACCAGGAAGGAAACGGAAUAUGUGGCUACGAAAGGCAAAAGAAAGGUUUACAAAGCAAAUGUGACACAUUUUUUUGAAAUAUUUAGGAA
rnacentral:lncRNA from 1 species